rnacentral:rRNA from 1 species
AUUGAACGCUGGCGGCAUGCCUUACACAUGCAAGUCGAACGGCAGCACGGGGCAACCUGGUGGCGAGUGGCGAAUGGGUGAGUAAUGCAUCGGAACGUGCCAUUGAGUGGGGGAUAACGUAGCGAAAGUUGCGCUAAUACCGCAUAUUCUGUGAGCAGGAAAGCAGGGGACCGCAAGGCCUUGCGCUCUUUGAGCGGCCGAUGUCAGAUUAGCUAGUUGGUGAGGUAACGGCUUACCAAGGCGACGAUCUGUAGCGGGUCUGAGAGGAUGAUCCGCCACACUGGGACUGAGACACGGCCCAGACUCCUACGGGAGGCAGCAGUGGGGAAUUUUGGACAAUGGGCGCAAGCCUGAUCCAGCCAUGCCGCGUGAGUGAAGAAGGCCUCGGUU